GACGAACGCUGGCGGCGUGCCUAACACAUGCAAGUCGAACGGAUAGGGCGUGCUUUGGUCUGGUGUUCGCGUGGCGAACGGGUGAGUAACACGUGAGUAACCUUCCUUUUACUGGGGGAUAACUGCAGGAAACUGGUGCUAAUACCGGAUAGGAGCUGCUGCUGCAUGGUGGUGUUUGGAAAUCUUCGGCGGUUGGGGUUGGACGCGCGGCUUAGUAGUUUGUUGGUGGGGGAGUGGCUAACCAAGGCUUGGACGGCUAGCCGGCCUGGGAGGGUGAUCAGCCACAUUGGGCCUGCGGGAGGGCCCAGACUCCAACGGGGGGCAGCGGUGGAAAAUAUUGCACAAUGGGCGGACGCCUGAUAAAACGACGUCGCGUGCGGAAAGACGGCCAUCGGGGUAGAAAGCGCUUUAGCCUGUGACGUUGCGUGUGUGACGGUAAUGGGAAAAGAAGCACCGGCUAACUACGUG
rnacentral:rRNA from 1 species